CCAGCUGCUAUCCUCCCUUAAGGACGAAGGUGUCUACAGGAUUCCUCCGGUAGCCAACAUUACAGAAGUAGAGUCCUCUAGAUUCAAUGACACAAGAAAGUGUUCCAAAGUUUUUAAAUUAAACUGAAUAAUUGUAACCAGUGUAACAUUUUAUGCUGCUGAUAAAUAAUUCAGUAACUUAAAAUGGAUCUGGAUCUCUGGGUUCCAGCGCACAGACGUGGAGACAUGACGGGCCGACGGAUCUCCGCGUUGUCACUGGUAAUAAUCUGCAUGUGUAGCAGCCUCGCCUCGGCGGAGCAGACUUCAAGAAGACUAAUAGUUAGAGUGCAACAAUGUUUGCUGAAAGGAAAAGUUUUAGCAUUAUCCAAAACAAGAAAAAGUACGUGGCGUUUCUUGGAAUUCCGUACGCCAAAACUCGUGUCGGUGACCUCAAGUUCAAAGCAAUGGGAAGAUGAUAAGUAACAAUGCGCCUCAAGCGCCGUAACCACGGCAGGAACUCGUGAUGCGACUUUGGAAGGGUACACGUGCACUCAGAGGAGCGACUUGACGAGUUUACUGUCAGGAGAGGACGACUGUCUCUUUCUCAACGUCUUCACGCCAAAGAGAACAAAAGCCAUGAGGUGACUGCUGAAACUAGUAAAUUGGAAGGUAUGUUGUCCAGAUUGCAGUUUGUAUACAAAGUAAGAUGUUCAGACUUCACUGACUUUG